UUCCGGUUGAUCCUGCCGGACCUGACUGCUAUCGGAUUGAUACUAAGCCAUGCGAGUCUUUGCAGUAAUGCAAGGCAUACGGCUCAGUAACACGUAGUCAACUUACCCUAUGGACGAGGAUAAUCUCGGGAAACUGAGCAUAAUACUCGAUAGAUCAUAAUGCCUGGAAUGGUUUAUGGUUGAAAUGAUUCGUCGCCAUAGGAUGGGACUGCGGCCUAUCAGCUUGUUGGUGAGGUAAUGGCCCACCAAGGCGAUUACAGGUACGGGCUCUGAGAGGAGAAGCCCGGAGAUGGGUACUGAGACAAGGACCCAGGCCCUAUGGGGCGCAGCAGGCGAGAAAACUUUGCAAUGUGCGAAAGCACGACAAGGUUAAUCCGAGUGAUUUCUGCUAAAGAAAUCUUUUGCAAGUCAUAAAACCACUAGUGAAUAAGGGGUGGGCAAGUUCUGGUGUCAGCCGCCGCGGUAAAACCAGCACCUCAAGUGGUCAGGAGGAUUAUUGGGCCUAAAGCAUCCGUAGCCGGCUCUGUAAGUUUUCGGUUAAAUCCAUGUGCUCAACAUAUGGGCUGCCGAAAAUACUGCAUAGCUAGGGAGUGGGAGAGGUAGACGGUACUCGAUAGGAAGGGGUAAAAUCCUUUGAUCUAUUGAUGACCACCUGUGGCGAAGGCGGUCUACCAGAACACGUUCGACGGUGAGGGAUGAAAGCUGGGGGAGCAAACCGGAUUAGAUACCCGGGUAGUCCCAGCUGUAAACGAUGCAGACUCGAUGAUGCAUUGGCAUAUAGCCAGUGCAGUGUCGCAGGGAAGCCGUUAAGUCUGCCGCCUGGGAAGUACGUACGCAAGUAUGAAACUUAAAGGAAUUGGCGGGGGAGCACCACAAGGGGUGAAGCCUGCGGUUCAAUUGGAUUCAACGCCGG
rnacentral:rRNA from 1 species